CAGGUCGUACUUACAUAAUUUCAGCUGACACAAACUGUUAAUUUGAUUCACUGUCCAAAAUAAACAUCUAGAGAUGUUGGCUUGGCCACAUGAACAUUCCAAACAGUUUUUUGUUGUUUGAUUCUAAAAGAUUCAUAAAGAAAUGAUACAUAGCAGUUAUGGUGCCAGUGUCUCUCAAGUUACAUGUAAAACAAUGAUACAUCAAAUAAUGACAGUAUGAUUUUGUUUUUUAUUGAGUUCAAAAAUCUUGAUAAACGCUGGAGUAGUUGCGAAAAUCCCAUCAUUUCCUUUCUGAGCUCUUCUAACUAACGUAGUUAAAUUGCAGACUUCAUAGAUGAUAAAAGCACUUCUGUUGGCGUAGGGAAGGGAGGUGUAAAUGUUGAUACAGGUAAGGGAAAGCCUGGAGGAACUUCUGUAAAUGUUGGGAAAGGCGGAGUAAACGUGAACACUGGGAAAGGAAAGCCAGGAACCAAUGUUAAUGUGGGAGGUAAAGGUGGUGUAAAUGUUAACGCUGGAAAGCCGGGGAAGAGAACCAAUGUAGGUGUUGGCAAAGGCGGUGUAACUGUUACCACGGGACACAAGGGAAAGCCUGUGUAUGUUGGAGUACGACCAGGGCCAUCCCCGUUCAAUUAUGUUUAUGCUGCUACUGAAAAUCAACUUCACGAUGACCCAACUGUGGCUCUCUUUUUUUUGGAGGAGGACAUGUAUAUCGGGAAAACCAUGAACUUGCACUUCACCGAAAACCCAAACAUAGCAACUUUCUUACCACGCCAAGUUGCCAAUUCGAUACCUUUUACAUCUAAAAAGUUGCCAGAGAUCUACAAUGAGUUUUCUGUGAAACCUGGAUCAACGGAAGCUGAGAUAAUGAAGACAACAAUCAGAGAGUGUGAAGAACCUGGGAUUAAAGGAGAGAAGAAAUACUGUGCAACAUCACUCGAGUCAAUGAUUGACUUCAGCACUUCUGUACUUGGAAAAAAUGUUCAGGCAAUCUCCACGGAGGUGGAAAACCAAACCCAGAUGCAGAAGUAUAAAAUUACAACUAGAACAAAGAUGGCAGGUGACAAAUCUGU
rnacentral:lncRNA from 1 species